rnacentral:rRNA from 1 species
ACGAACGCUGGCGGCAUGCCUAACACAUGCAAGUCGAACGAACCCUUCGGGGUUAGUGGCGCACGGGUGCGUAACGCGUGGGAAUCUGCCCUUUGCUUCGGAAUAACUCAGGGAAACUUGUGCUAAUACCGGAUGAUGUCUUCGGACCAAAGAUUUAUCGGCAAGGGAUGAGCCCGCGUAGGAUUAGGUAGUUGGUGGGGUAAAGGCCUACCAAGCCGACGAUCCUUAGCUGGUCUGAGAGGAUGAUCAGCCACACUGGGACUGAGACACGGCCCAGACUCCUAGGGGGGGCGGCCGUGGGGAAUAUUGGACAAUGGGCGCAAGCCUGAUCCAGAAAUGCCGGGUGAGUGAUGAAGGCCCCGGGGUCGAAAAGCUUUUUUACCAGGGAUGAAAAUGACAGUACCGGGAGAAUAAGCCCCGGCUAACCCCGU